GAUGAACGCUGGCGGCGUGCCUAAUACAUGCAAGUCGAGCGAACAGACGAGGAGCUUGCUCCUCUGACGUUAGCGGCGGACGGGUGAGUAACACGUGGAUAACCUACCUAUAAGACUGGGAUAACUUCGGGAAACCGGAGCUAAUACCGGAUAAUAUAUUGAACCGCAUGGUUCAAUAGUGAAAGACGGUUUUGCUGUCACUUAUAGAUGGAUCCGCGCCGCAUUAGCUAGUUGGUAAGGUAACGGCUUACCAAGGCAACGAUGCGUAGCCGACCUGAGAGGGCGAUCAGCCACACUGGAACUGAGACACGGUCCAGACUCCUACGGGAGGCAGCAGUAGGGAAUCUUCCGCAAUGGGCGCAAGCUUGACGGAGCAACGCCGCGUGAGUGAUGAAGGUCUUCGGAUCGUAAAACUCUGUUAUUAGGGAAGAAAAAAUGUGUAAGUAACUAUGCACGUCUUGACGGUACCUAAUCAGAAAGCCACGGCUAACUACGUG
rnacentral:rRNA from 1 species